rfam:Schistosoma margrebowiei strain Zambia genome assembly, scaffold: SMRZ_contig0000724
GCACUGCUGAGGAGUCCUACACUAGGACGAAACGGCCGUCCAGUGC